UACGAAGGGGGCUAGCGUUGUUCGGAAUUACUGGGCGUAAAGCGAACGUAGGCGGUGUUCCAUGUCAGAGGUGAAAGCCUGGGGCUCAACUCCAGAAUUGCCUUUGAAACGGGGACGCUUGAGUCCGAGAGAGGGUGGCGGAAUUCCUAGUGUAGAGGUGAAAUUCGUAGAUAUUAGGAAGAACACCAGUGGCGAAGGCGGCCACCUGGCUCGGUACGUGACGCUCAGGUUCGAAAGCGUGGGAGCAAACAGG
rnacentral:rRNA from 1 species